rnacentral:rRNA from 1 species
UACGAAGGGGGCUAGCGUUGUUCGGAAUUACUGAGCGUAAAGGGCGCGUAGGCGGAUACUUAAGUCGGGGGUGAAAGCCCGGGGCUCAACCUCGGAAUUGCCUUCGAUACUGGGUAUCUUGAGUUCGGGAGAGGUGAGUGGAAUGCCGAGUGUAGAGGUGAAAUUCGUAGAUAUUCGCAAGAACACCAGUGGCGAAGGCGGCUGACUGGUCCGGUUCUGACGCUGAGGCGCGAAGCGUGGGAGCAAACAGG